GCAUUAAUGGGGUAGUGGUAACCUGGGUCGUUGCCAUUAGAGUUGAAAAGCUCGACCCGCCGGGGGUUCGAUUCCCUCUUAAUGCA
rnacentral:tRNA from 1 species